UGUUUCGGCUAGGGGGUCAUCCCGACUUACCAACCCGAUGCAAACUACGAAUACCGAAGAAUGUUAUCACGGGAGACACACGGCGGGUGCUAACGUCCGUCGUGAAGAGGGAAACAACCCAGACCGCCAGCUAAGGUCCCAAAGUCAUGGUUAAGUGGGAAACGAUGUGGGAAGGCACAGACAGCCAGGAUGUUGGCUUAGAAGCAGCCAUCAUUUAAAGAAAGCGUAAUAGCUCACUGGUCGAGUCGGCCUGCGCGGAAGAUGUAACGGGGCUAAACCAUGCACCGAAGCUGCGGCAGCGACACUAUGUGUUGUUGGGUAGGGGAGCGUUCUGUAAGCCGUUGAAGGUGGCCUGUGAGGGUUGCUGGAGGUAUCAGAAGUGCGAAUGCUGACAUAAGUAACGAUAAAGCGGGUGAAAAGCCCGCUCGCCGGAAGACCAAGGGUUCCUGUCCAACGUUAAUCGGGGCAGGGUGAGUCGACCCCUAAGGCGAGGCCGAAAGGCGUAGUCGAUGGGAAACAGGUUAAUAUUCCUGUACUCGGUGUUACUGCGAAGGGG
rnacentral:rRNA from 1 species